AGCGAACGCUGGCGGCAGGCUUAACACAUGCAAGUCGAGCGGGCAUAGCAAUAUGUCAGCGGCAGACGGGUGAGUAACGCGUGGGAACGUACCUUUUGGUUCGGAACAACACAGGGAAACUUGUGCUAAUACCGGAUAAGCCCUUACGGGGCAAAAUUUAUCGCCGAAAGAUCGGCCCGCGUCUGAUUAGCUAGUUGGUGAGGUAAUGGCUCACCAAGGCGACGAUCAGUAGCUGGUCUGAGAGGACGAUCAGCCACAUUGGGACUGAGACACGGCCCAAACUCCUACGGGAGGCAGCAGUGGGGAAUAUUAGACGAUGGGCGCAAGCCUGAUCCAGCCAUGCCGCGUGAGUGAUGAAGGCCCUAGGGUUGUAAAGCUCUUUUGUGCGGGAAGAUAAUGACGGUACCGCAAGAAUAAGCCCCGGCUAACUUCGUGCCAGCAGCCGCGGUAA
rnacentral:rRNA from 1 species